UACAAUGAAGAGUUUGAUCCUGGCUCAGGAUGAACGCUAGCGGCAGGCCUAAUACAUGCAAGUCGAACGGUAACAUUGGUGCUUGCACCAGAUGACGAGUGGCGCACGGGUGCGUAACGCGUAUGCAAUCUACCUUUUACUAGAGUAUAGCCCAGAGAAAUUUGGAUUAAUCCUCUAUAAUAUCUUUAAGUUUCAUGACUUUUAGAUUAAAGUUUUAACGGUAAAAGAUGAGCAUGCGUCCUAUUAGUUUGUAGGUGAGGUAACGGCUCACCUAGACUACGAUAGGUAGGGGCCCUGAGAGGGGGAUCCCCCACACUGGUACUGAGACACGGACCAGACUCCUACGGGAGGCAGCAGUG
rnacentral:rRNA from 1 species